CGCAGAUCGAAGCCAACAAAUUGAGAGAGAAAUAUGAGGCAGAGAUAUUUGAGCUGCAGAAUAAGGUGUUGUGUCAGGAAGGUUUGGUGUCGAAUCUGGAGGCAGAGCUUGGCCGGCUGAAGCGGGAGGCCGAGACAGCAUCAUCACGGUUACAGUUUGCCGAGGAUAAGGAGCGGGACAUGGCGGAGGAGUACGCAGCCCUGAAGAGUAACUACCUGGCUGUGAGUGAAGGUCUGGAGCGUGAGAUUACACACUCACAGGAGCUGAGCGAUGAGCUGCUGACACUCGCACACACACAUGACACACUGCUGCAUGAGAAGGAGCGAGAACACACUCACACACUUGAGCUGGAGAGGGUCAGAGCUCUUCUGAGCAGAGUGUCCCACAGCAGAAUCAGGCCAGAGGAACUGAGCCGAGGAUGCAAUGCUAUUGGGGACAGAUGCACACAUAGGGCCCAGUACGAGCUGAGGGAGGAGCUCGAGAGAAUGAGAAAGACUUACGAAGAGCAACAAUAGCGAAUGGAAGAGAAAAUUGUGGUUAUGGGAAAGGAGCAGCAGGAGAAUAAGAGAGCCAUCCACAACACAC
ensembl:lncRNA